rnacentral:rRNA from 1 species
UGAGAGGGUGAUCGCACACUSGGACUGAGACACSGCCCAGACUCUACGGGAGCAGCAGUAGGAAUCUUCCGCAAUGRACGAAAGUYUGACGRAGCAACGCCGCGUGAGUGAUGAAGGUUUUCGGAUCGUAAACUCUGUKUAGGGAAGAACMAGUACCGUUCGAAUAGGGCGGUACCUUGACGGUACCUAACCAGAAAGCCACGGCUAACUACGUGCCAGCAGCCGCGGUAAUACGUAGGUGGCAAGCGUUGUCCGGAAUUAUUGGGCGUAAAGCGCGCGCAGGCGGUUUCUUAAGUCUGAUGUAAAGCCCCCGGCUCAACCGGGGAGGGUCAUUGGAAACUGGGGAACUUGAGUGCAGAAGAGGAGAGUGGAAUUCCACGUGUAGCGGUGAAAUGCGUAGAGAUGUGGAGGAACACCAGUGGCGAAGGCGACUCUCUGGUCUGUAACUGACGCUGAGGCGCGAAAGCGUGGGGAGCGAACAGGAUUAGAUACCCUGGUAGUCCACGCCGUAAACGAUGAGUGCUAAGUGUUAGAGGGUUUCCGCCCUUUAGUGCUGCAGCAAACGCAUUAAGCACUCCGCCUGGGGAGUACGGUCGCAAGACUGAAACUCAAAGGRAUUGACGGGGGCCCGCACAAGCGGUGGAGCAUGUGGUUUAAUUCGAAGCAACGCGAAGAACCUUACCAGGUCUUGACAUCCUCUGACAACCCUAGAGAUAGGGCUUCCCCUUCGGGGGCAGAGUGACAGGUGGUGCAUGGUUGUCGUCAGCUCGUGUCGUGAGAUGUUGGGKUAAGUCCCGCAMCGAGCGCMACCCUUGAUCYUAGUUGCCAGCAUUCAGUUGGGCACUCUAAGGUGACUGCCGGUGACAAACCGGAGGAAGGUGGGGAUGACGUCAAAUCAUCAUGCCCCUUAUGACCUGGGCUACACACGUGCUACAAUGGGCAGAACAAAGGGCAGCGAAGCCGCGAGGCUAAGCCAAUCCCACAAAUCUGUUCUCAGUUCGGAUCGCAGUCUGCAACUCGACUGCGUGAAGCUGGAA